UCUUUCUUUGCUGCGUCGAGACACACAAACAUAACACACACACACCACAUUUUAUUCUCAAAAUCAAUCUAUGAUUUAUUGAAAUCAAAUGGGAAAUAAAUUUUAGUGUUAUAACAAAAUCAUUUGGCAAGCAUAAUUUUCUUGUAAUCAGCAUCCUCAUCGUCAUCUUCUAAACUUUAUUUCAAGAACUUCAAAUUGGUUCGGAUAGACGUGGAGACUAAAUUGCUCAUUUACAAAUCUGCUCAUCCUUUUAAUUCGUCAAUCUAUAAGGUAACCAACAGUAAGUCUUGGAUCAUCUUGGCAUUUUAGGGCCAUUCUUUUGACUUUGGAUGUACAAUUAGCAUCAGACAUAUGCGAACUAUCAUCUUAUUAGUUCUAAUCGUACUAGACUGUCCAAAUAUUUAUCUUGUAUUCAGUGGGCCAAAUUCCAUAUAUGGAUGACUUGUAUCCGUAUUCUGGGGUUCACAUUUGAACGAUUGUACUUGUAUUAGACUUGUAUUUGGUAUUAAAUAGAUGUAAUUUCUAUUA